AUGGUGGGAAAUCAGGUGAUGUUGCUGCUCGUGGACUCGGGCAGCACACACAGCUUCAUCUCCCAGGCGUUCGUGGAACGGAUCAAGGCCACUAGCACGCCUCUGCCACCCGUGGAAGUGCGCGUCGCCAAUGGGGAGCGCCUGGUUUGCGACAGCAUGAUUCCGGCCGUUCAGUGGUGGUGCCAAGGACACACAUUCAGUACGGACAUGCAUCAGCUUGCGCUCGGGGCAUACGAUGGCGUACUGGGCAUGGACUGGCUUGAACAAAACAGCCCCAUGAACUGUCACUGGCUGGACAAGACCAUUUCCUUCGCGCACCAGGGCGAGACUGUGACACUGCAAGGUGUUCGUCCCAAGGGCACAACUACCAACAUCGACUACAUCGAGCCAGAUCAGUUCGCCAAGUGGCACGCCGGAAACGGUAUCUAG
rnacentral:rRNA from 1 species